AGAAAACCAGUCUGCUUCCCACAAUUCAGAUAGGAAAGUGGUCAAAAAUGAGGAUUAAAGAAAGCUAAGCAGAGUCGGGCCUGGUUAGUACUUGGAUAGGAGACCACCUAGGAAGACCAGGUGCU
rnacentral:rRNA from 1 species